rnacentral:rRNA from 1 species
AGUGAACGCUGGCGGUAGGCCUAACACAUGCAAGUCGAACGGCAGCACAGUAAGAGCUUGCUCUUACGGGUGGCGAGUGGCGGACGGGUGAGGAAUACAUCGGAAUCUACUUUUUCGUGGGGGAUAACGUAGGGAAACUUACGCUAAUACCGCAUACGACCUACGGGUGAAAGCAGGGGAUCUUCGGACCUUGCGCGAUUGAAUGAGCCGAUGUCGGAUUAGCUAGUUGGCGGGGUAAAGGCCCACCAAGGCGACGAUCCGUAGCUGGUCUGAGAGGAUGAUCAGCCACACUGGAACUGAGGCACGGGCCAGACUCCUACGGGAGGCAGCAGUGGGGAAUAUUGGACAAUGGGCGCAAGCCUGAUCCAGCCAUACCGCGUGGGUGAAGAAGGCCUUCGGGUUGUAAAGCCCUUUUGUUGGGAAAGAAAAGCAGCAGGUUAAUACCCCGCUGUUCUGACGGUACCCAAAGAAUAAGCACCGGCUAACUUCGUG